rnacentral:rRNA from 1 species
GCCUAUAUACUCACCGUCGUCGGCUUACCCUGUGAAGGGCUAAUAGUAAGCAAAACUGGCAAAGCCCAAAACGUCAGGUCGAGGUGUAGCGCAUGGAAGGGGAAGAAAUGGGCUACAUUCACUAAUCCAGUGCACACGAAUGACACCCUGAAACACGUGUCUGAAGGAGGAUUUAGCAGUAAGUAGAAAAUAGAGUGUUCUGCUGAAACUGGCCCUGAAGCGCGCACACACCGCCCGUCACUCUCCCCGAGCUAAGACUAUCAAGUAAAUAAACAACUAUAACUGCAAAGGGGAGGCAAGUCGUAACAUGGUAAGUGUACCGGAAGGUGCACUUGGAAAAAC